rnacentral:rRNA from 1 species
AUUGAACGCUGGCGGCAUGCCUUACACAUGCAAGUCGAACGGUAACGCGGGGCAACCUGGCGACGAGUGGCGAACGGGUGAGUAAUGCAUCGGAACGUGCCCAGUAGUGGGGGAUAGCCCGGCGAAAGCCGGAUUAAUACCGCAUACGACCCACGGGAGAAAGGGGGGGAUCGCAAGACCUCUCGCGAUUGGAGCGGCCGAUGUCAGAUUAGGUAGUUGGUGGGGUAAAGGCAACCAAGCCGACGAUCUGUAGCUGGUCUGAGAGGACGACCAGCCACACUGGGACUGAGACACGGCCCAGACUCCUACGGGAGGCAGCAGUGGGGAAUUUUGGACAAUGGGCGCAAGCCUGAUCCAGCCAUGCCGCGUGCGGGAAGAAGGCCUUCGGGUUGUAAACCGCUUUUGUCAGGGAAGAAAUCUUUUGAGCUAAUACCUCGGAAGGAUGACGGUACCUGAAGAAUAAGCACCGGCUAACUACGUGCCAGCAGCCGCCGCAGUAA